CAGCCGCCGCGGUAAUACGGAGGGUGCAAGCGUUAAUCGGAAUUACUGGGCGUAAAGCGUGCGUAGGUGGUGGUUUAAGUCCGUUGUGAAAGCCCUGGGCUCAACCUGGGAAUUGCAGUGGAUACUGGGUCACUAGAGUGUGGUAGAGGAUAGUGGAAUUUCCGGUGUAGCAGUGAAAUGCGUAGAGAUCGGAAGGAACAUCUGUGGCGAAGGCGACUAUCUGGGCCAACACUGACACUGAGGCACGAAAGCGUGGGGAGCAAACAGGAUUAGAUACCGCGUAGUCCCUGUCUCUUAUACA
rnacentral:rRNA from 1 species